CUUAGUGGAGUGCAGACAGGUCCUCAACUGAUUUAGGUGAAAAGAAAGGUCUUGAUGGGUCUAGAGGCCCAAGGAAUACCAACCCUGCACAAGGGAGGCUUGUUUCCACCCAGUGCAGACAUAAUAGCCUUCCUUCCUUCCUUCCUUCCUUCCUUCCUUCCUUCCUUCCUUCCUUCCUUCUUUCCUUCCUUCCUUUCUCUCUCUCUCUCUCUUCCCCAACUCUCUCUCUCUGUCUCCCCCUGCUCUGUUUCUAUUGGAGCACUGGCUUCUCCUUCUGUAUCUCUGCAGAGAAGUUCUCUUUUCCAUCAGGCAAAAGGCAGGUCCUGAGAUUAUAGGCUAUUGGGGGUUCAUUUUUGUGAAUAAAGAUUGCAGUUCUCAGAGAAUAGGAAGUCAAGAUCUUUUGGGCUGCUUAGACAUCUCGAAGAUACUCAUUGAGGGUGCUUUCUCGGAUGGCUUGGGAGUUUUCUAAAUAUCUGUUUGUCAUAAUUUACCUAUCCAGUGUGCUGGGACUGACUGAAAGGUUGUUAUAUUCUUAGGUGGGACCAAUAGGAAAAGCACAUCCAAGAUAAAAGUGCUAUAUUUCCUCUAUACUUCUUUGAGUUGCACCACACUUGGGUUAAUAGCUCCAUUCUAAGCAUUACCUACAAAGAAGGAGACUGAGAAAGAGAAACAGAAAGGACUAGGAACCAUGAGAACAGUGUAAACCAUGCCCACUGAGGAUGAAUUAUAGGAAUGAAGGAUAUUUUGCCUAAAAAAUAGAAGACUGAGGGUGAAAUAAAAGUCCUUUUUAGAAAACUAGACAGUGGUUAUGAGGAGAGAGA
rnacentral:lncRNA from 1 species